rnacentral:rRNA from 1 species
GAUGAACGCUGGCGGCGUGCCUAAUACAUGCAAGUCGAGCGAAUGGAUUAAGAGCUUGCUCUUAUGAAGUUAGCGGCGGACGGGUGAGUAACACGUGGGUAACCUGCCCAUAAGACUGGGAUAACUCCGGGAAACCGGGGCUAAUACCGGAUAACAUUUUGAACCGCAUGGUUCGAAAUUGAAAGGCGGCUUCGGCUGUCACUUAUGGAUGGACCCGCGUCGCAUUAGCUAGUUGGUGAGGUAACGGCUCACCAAGGCAACGAUGCGUAGCCGACCUGAGAGGGUGAUCGGCCACACUGGGACUGAGACACGGACCAGACUGCUACGGGAGGCAGGAGUAGGGAAUCUUCCGCAAUGGACGAAAGUCUGACGGAGCAACGCCGCGUGAGUGAUGAAGGCUUUCGGGUCGUAAAACUCUGUUGUUAGGGAAGAACAAGUGCUAGUUGAAUAAGCUGGCACCUUGACGGUACCUAACCAGAAAGCCACGGCUAACUACGUGCCAGCCGCCGCGGUAA